rnacentral:rRNA from 1 species
GAUGAACGCUGGCGGCGUGCCUAAUACAUGCAAGUCGAGCGAACAGACGAGGAGCUUGCUCCUCUGACGUUAGCGGCGGACGGGUGAGUAACACGUGGAUAACCUACCUAUAAGACUGGGAUAACUUCGGGAAACCGGAGCUAAUACCGGAUAAUAUAUUGAACCGCAUGGUUCAAUAGUGAAAGACGGUUUUGCUGUCACUUAUAGAUGGAUCCGCGCCGCAUUAGCUAGUUGGUAAGGUAACGGCUUACCAAGGCAACGAUGCGUAGCCGACCCGAGAGGGCGAUCGGCCACACUGGAACUGAGACACGGUCCAGACUCCUACGGGAGGCAGCAGUAGGGAAUCUUCCGCAAUGGGCGAAAGCCUGACGGAGCAACGCCGCGUGAGUGAUGAAGGUCUUCGGAUCGUAAAACUCUGUUAUUAGGGAAGAACAAAUGUGUAAGUAACUAUGCACGUCUUGACGGUACCUAAUCAGAAAGCCACGGCUAACUACGUG